UACGAGAGGCCCAAACGUUAUUCGGAAUUACUGGGCUUAAAGAGUUCGUAGGCGGCGCAGAAAGUGGGGUGUGAAAGCCCUCGGCUCAACCGAGGAAUUGCGCUCCAAACUACUGUGCUUGAGGAAGCUAGAGGUGAGCAGAACUGAUGGUGGAGCGGUGAAAUGCGUUGAUAUCAUCAGGAAUACCGGAGGCGAAGGCGGCUCACUGGGGGCUUUUCUGACGCUGAGGAACGAAAGCCAGGGUAGCGAACGGG
rnacentral:rRNA from 1 species